GCCGGAGUAGCUCAGUUGGGAGAGCGUUAGACUGAAGAUCUAAAUGUCCCCGGUUCCAUCCCGGGUUCCGGCA
rnacentral:tRNA from 1 species